rnacentral:misc_RNA from 1 species
GAUGAAGAACGCAGCAAAAUGCGAUAAGUAAUGUGAAUUGCAGAAUUCAGUGAAUCAUCGAAUCUUUGAACGCACAUUGCGCCCGCCAGUAUUCUGGCGGGCAUGCCUGUUCGAGCGUCAUUUCAACCCUCAAGCACAGCUUGGUGUUGGGACUCGCGUUAAUUCGCGUUCCUCAAAUUGAUUGGCGGUCACGUCGAGCUUCCAUAGCGUAGUAGUAAAACCCUCGUUACUGGUAAUCGUCGCGGCCACGCCGUUAAACCCCAACUUCUGAAUGUUGACCUCGGAUCAGGUAGGAAUGCCCGCUGAACUUAAGCAUAUCAAUAAGCGGAGGA